rnacentral:rRNA from 1 species
UUUGAGUCGCGUGUCCUGGACCCGAAGCGGGAUGAUCUAGCCCUGAGCAGGUUGAAGCGCGGGUAAGACCGCGUGGAGGACCGAACCCACCUGGGUUGAAAACCGGGGGGAUGACUUGGGGUUAGGGGUGAAAGGCCAAUCAAAUUCCGUGAUAGCUGGUUCUCUCCGAAAUGCAUUUAGGUGCAGCGUCGGGGAUUACGUCCGGGGGGUAGAGCUACUGGAUGCUUGAGGGCCCGUAUCGGGUACCGACAGCAGCCAAACUCCGAAUACCCGUGACGCGUAUCCCGGCAGUGAGUCGGCGGGGGAUAAGCUCCGUCGUCGAAAGGGAGACAGCCCAGAUCGUCGUCUAAGGUCCCCAAGCGCGUGCUAAGUGGGAAAGGAUGUGGAGUCGCAUAGACAGCCAGGAGGUUGGCUCAGAAGCAGCCACCCUUGAAAGAGUGCGUAACAGCUCACUGGUCUAGUGGUUCCGCGCCGACAAUGUAGCGGGGCUCAAGCACGCCACCGAAGACGCGGCAGCGUCCGUCUGGACGCUGGGUAGGAGAGCGUCCCCAUCGGGGCGAAGCGGCGGCGCAAGCCUGCCGUGGACCGUUGGGGAGUGAGAAUGCAGACAUGAGUAGCGAGAGGCGGGUGCGAAUCCCGCCCGCUGGAUGACCAAGGGUUCCGGGGCCACGUUCGUCGUCCCCGGGUGAGUCGGGUCCUAAGGCGAGGCCGACAGGCGUAGUCGAAUGGAUGAACGGGCUGAUAUUCCCGUACCGGCAGCGAACCGAAACAACCGAGGCCUGGGGCGCUAACCUCCGGGUCCGUGCCGUCUCCCCUUUCGGGGGGUCGCGGCGCGGGCGCGUUGGGAUCCCCCCUCGUAGUAGGUCAGCGCAGGAGUGACGCAUCAGGGCAGCCGGCCGCGGAGGUGGUUUUCCGUGGUCAAGCGUUCGAGCCCGUCCCGCAGGCAAAUCCGCGGGGCGUCGGGGCGAGGCGUGAUGAUGGGGGCCUUACGGCCCGAAUCCGGUGAUCCGUGGUGCCGAGAAAAGCUUCGGCGUCAGGCGCGUUGCCGCCCGUACCCCAAACCGACACUGGUGGUCAGGUAGAGAAUACCAAAGCGAUCGAGCGAAUCCUGGUCAAGGAACUCGGCAAAUUGCUCCCGUGCCUUCGGCAUAAGGGAGACCCCCUGCGGUGAUGAGCGGCGGGGGGUGGCACAGGCCAGGGGGUAGCGACUGUUUACCAAAAACACAGGAGCGUGCGAAGGCGCAAGCCGCUGUAUACGCUCUGACGCCUGCCCGGUGCCGGAAGGUUAAGAGGAUCCGUCAGCUUCUGCGAAGCGGUGAAUUCAAGCCCCGGUAAACGGCGGUGGUAACUAUAACCAUCCUAAGGUAGCGAAAUUCCUUGUCGGGUAAGUUCCGACCUGCACGAAUGGCGUAA